rnacentral:rRNA from 1 species
UGGGGAAUCUUCCGCAAUGGACGAAAGUCUGACGGAGCAACGCCGCGUGUAUGAUGAAGGUCUUCGGAUUGUAAAGUACUGUCAUUGGGGAAGAACGGUUUUCUUGAAAAGAUUGAGAAGACAUGACGGUACCCAAGGAGGAAGCCCCGGCUAACUACGUGCCAGCAGCCGCGGUAAUACGUAGGGGGCAAGCGUUGUCCGGAAUUAUUGGGCGUAAAGGGCGCGUAGGCGGGCCUUUAAGUCCGGUGUGAAAGAUCAGGGCUCAACCCUGAGAGUGCAUCGGAAACUGGAGGCCUUGAGGACAGGGAGAGGAAAGUGGAAUUCCACGUGUAGCGGUGAAAUGCGUAGAUAUGUGGAGGAACACCAGUGGCGAAGGCGACUUUCUGGACUGUAACUGACGCUGAGGCGCGAAAGCGUGGGGAGCAAACAGGAUUAGAUACCCUGGUAGUCCACGCCGUAAACGAUGAGUGCUAGGUGUAGAGGGUAUCGACCCCUUCUGUGCCGCAGUUAACACAAUAAGCACUCCGCCUGGGGAGUACGGCCGCAAGGUUGAAACUCAAAUGAAUUGACGGGGUCAUAGCUG